rnacentral:tRNA from 1 species
GGGUCGAUGGCGUAGCUGGUUAUCGCAUCUGUCUAACACCGUGCGGUCUCGUAUAAUGUUCACAGAAGGUCCUCAGUUCGAACCUGGGUCGACUCA